GAGCUCAGUUGGUUAUAGAGUGUGAUGCUGAUGACACCAAGGUUGUAGGUUCGAUACCUGUAUGGAACA